CAGCACAGGGACACAGAGCAGGCCUCUGGCACAUUCUGUCAGGCUGUGAGACGGCUCCAGCACAGGGGUGCUACAGAUGGAGGUAUGACCAGCUGCUGCGGAAGCUUCUGGAAUUACUAGAGACCAGCAGACAGGAGGCAAACAGAGAUGCCUCUCCUGUGAAAGAGCAUCAAACCCACUUUGUGAGGAAAGCAGAGGAGGAGGGGACCGUAGGACACAAAGGUGGGAGUAGAGCCCUGGUUCCAGGCAGAGGGUGGAGCAUGCGUGUAGAUCUCAAUCCACAGCUCCAUUUCCCAAAUGAAAUCAGCACAGUGUUCCUGUGGCCUAACAUGGAGACAUGGUCCACUCGGGCGAAGGUGGUGCUCCUUAUAUGUUUCGGGUUUUGCGGGUGAGGACCCAGGUGCGGAGUGAGAAAAACCUCAGGUGGCAUCAAAAGGGAAAUUCAAACCAAGACUUUAAUAUA